UACGAAGGGGGCUAGCGUUGCUCGGAAUUACUGGGCGUAAAGCGCACGUAGGCGGCUUUCUAAGUCGGGGGUGAAAUCCUGGAGCUCAACUCCAGAACUGCCUUCGAUACUGGAGAGCUUGAGUCCGGGAGAGGUGAGUGGAACUGCGAGUGUAGAGGUGAAAUUCGUAGAAUAUUCGCAAGAACACCUAGUGGCGAAAGGCGGCCUGCA
rnacentral:rRNA from 1 species